rnacentral:rRNA from 1 species
AACGAACGCUGGCGGCAUGCCUAACACAUGCAAGUCGAACGAGCCCUUCGGGUCUAGUGGCGCACGGGUGAGUAACGCGUGGGAACCUGCCCUUAGGUUCGGAAUAACUCCCCGAAAGGGGUGCUAAUACCGGAUACUGUCUUCGGACCAAAGAUUUAUCGCAUUUGGAUGGGCCCGCGUUGGAUUAGCUAGUUGGUAGGGUAAAAGCCUACCAAGGCGACGAUCCAUAGCUGGUCUGAGAGGAUGAUCAGCCACACUGGGACUGAGACACGGCCCAGACUCCUACGGGAGGCAGCAGUGGGGAAUAUUGGACAAUGGGCGAAAGCCUGAUCCAGCAAUGCCGCGUGAGUGAUGAAGGCCUUAGGGUUGUAAAGCUCUUUUACCCGGGAUGAUAAUGACAGUACCGGGAGAAUAAGCUCCGGCUAACUCCGUG